CCGGUUGUAGAAAAACGCGGUUAACAGACAGGACAUUGUGCCGAUUGCCAGGACUGCAUGUAUGGUGAAGCCAUCGUUGAGCUUCCAGGAUAGGAUGGCAGACUCCAGCCCUCGGGCGCCUCAUUAACCAGCAGAGGCAGCUGUAUAAAGGUGCCAUUCACGCCCAGCCAAGUGCCUAUACCAAAGCAUAUGGCCAGCAGAUCGACGAUCAGGUUGCGAUUCUUGAAGACGCCGCCGGUUUUAUGCUCCAUCUUCUUGCUAAUGGAUCGCCAGUUGAAGAAUGCACUUAGCUCGCUGGGCUCGUCUGUGCCGCAUCUAAGAAUAAGGUUUAAAUCAUUAAGAUAAGAUCCGUAUACAACAUUGUGUCUGCACCAUAAUUCAGAUUUACUUAGUUUCACUAAAUGUCUUUUAACGCAGUAAA